rnacentral:rRNA from 1 species
UACGGAGGGUGCAAGCGUUAUCCGGAUUCACUGGGCUUAAAGGGUGCGUAGGUGGGCAGGUAAGUCAGUGGUGAAAUCUCCGGGCUCAACCCGGAAACUGCCAUUGAUACUAUCAGUCUUGAAUAUCGUGGAGGUAAGCGGAAUAUGUCAUGUAGCGGUGAAAUGCUUAGAUAUGACAUAGAACACCAAUUGCGAAGGCAGCUUACUACGCGAAUAUUGACACUGAGGCACGAAAGCGUGGGGAUCAAACAGG